rnacentral:rRNA from 1 species
CCUGGCUCAGAUUGAACGCUGGCGGCAUGCUUUACACAUGCAAGUCGAACGGUAACAGGGAGCUUGCUCCGCUGACGAGUGGCGAACGGGUGAGUAAUAUAUCGGAACGUACCCAAGAGUGGGGGAUAACGUAGCGAAAGUUACGCUAAACCGCAUACGAUCUAUGGAUGAAAGCAGGGGACCUUCGGGCCUUGUGCUCCUGGAGCGGCCGAUAUCUGAUUAGCUAGUUGGUGAGGUAAAGGCUCACCAAGGCGACGAUCAGUAGCUGGUCUGAGAGGACGACCAGCCACACUGGAACUGAGACACGGUCCAGACUCCUACGGGAGGCAGCAGUGGGGAAUUUUGGACAAUGGGCGCAAGCCUGAUCCAGCAAUGCCGCGUGAGUGAAGAAGGCCUUCGGGUUGUAAAGCUCUUUUGUCAGGGAAGAAACGGCUGUGGCUAAUAUCCACGGCUAAUGACGGUACCUGAAGAAUAAGCACCGGCUAACUACGUGCCAGCAGCCGCGGUAAUACGUAGGGUGCAACCGUUAAUCGGAAUUACUGGGCGUAAAGCGUGCGCAGGCGGUUUUGUAAGUCUGUCGUGAAAUCCCCGGGCUCAACCUGGGAAUUGCGAUGGAGACGCAAGGCUAGAAUCUGGCAGAGGGGGGUAGAAUUCCACGUGUAGCAGUGAAAUGCGUAGAGAUGUGGAGGAACACCGAUGGCGAAGGCAGCCCCCUGGGUCAAGAUUGACGCUCAUGCACGAAAGCGUGGGGAGCAAACAGGAUUAGAUACCCUGGUAGUCCACGCCCUAAACGAUGUCUACUAGUUGUCGGGUUUUAA